GAAAUUCAAAAUUCAAAAUUCAAAAUCAAUUGAAACAAUUAAAGGUACUGAUUGGCUCCGCCACCAUGUAUUACAUACCCUUAAAACCCAACAUACGUGGGUGAAAAUCAAACCUGGGUUUUGAAACUCAAACUCACACCAAUACAUUCUCCUCUCUAUCUCUCCUAAAUCAAGAAGUAGAUAAUGUUUAAUGGCUUGAUUUGAAGAUGUUUAGGUGAUUCUCAGAUUCGUAUGAAUUCAUCCGGGACCCUUCAACACUUGUUUCUGGCUAGAUCACAUUCAUGGAGGUAUAAUAUGCCACUACAAUAGAUUCGACUUUUGAAGUCAAGAAAUAUAGUGUAACACCUCGAAAUUUUGUGUCCAAUAAUGUGUACUAUGCGUAAUUGGCUGGGAUUUCUCCUUAGCAUCAUUAGAAGUCUCGCAAGCUUAAGAUGCCUGAAGUCUGUUGAACAAUAUCUUAUUAUUAUUAUUGAUCCCUUGUGGAUUUUAUUUCAACAAUAGUGAUACUUUGAUAUUACACUUAACGUUGAAAUAUAUUUAUCUUUAUGCUUCCGCUGCGCAUUCAUAUAAUUGUGUGGUUUGACUAUAUUGUUGCCAACUACGUCACG
rnacentral:lncRNA from 1 species